UCAAUAGUGGUACUAAGUGUACGAAAAGUAGGGCGGGACACGUGAAAUCCUGUCUGAAUAUGGGGGGACCAUCCUCCAAGGCUAAAUACUCAUCAUCGACCGAUAGUGAACCAGUACCGUGAGGGAAAGGCGAAAAGAACCCCGGGAGGGGAGUGAAAUAGAACCUGAAACCUGAUGCAUACAAACAGUGGGAGCACCCAUGUGGUGUGACUGCGUACCUUUUGUAUAAUGGGUCAACGACUUACAUUCAGUAGCGAGCUUAACCGAAUAGGGGAGGCGUAGGGAAACCGAGUCUUAAUAGGGCGAACAGUUGCUGGGUGUAGACCCGAAACCGAGUGAUCUAUCCAUGGCCAGGUUGAAGGUGCCGUAACAGGUACUGGAGGACCGAACCCACGCAUGUUGCAAAAUGCGGGGAUGAGCUGUGGAUAGGGGUGAAAGGCUAAACAAACUCGGAGAUAGCUGGUUCUCCCCGAAAACUAUUUAGGUAGUGCCUCGAGCAAGACACUGAUGGGGGUAAAGCACUGUUAUGGCUAGGGGGUUAUUGCAACUUACCAACCCAUGGCAAACUAAGAAUACCAUCAAGUGGUUCCUCGGGAGACAGACAGCGGGUGCUAACGUCCGUUGUCAAGAGGGAAACAACCCAGACCGCCAGCUAAGGUCCCAAAUGACAGAUUAAGUGGUAAACGAAGUGGGAAGGCACAGACAGCCAGGAUGUUGGCUUAGAAGCAGCCAUCAUUUAAAGAAAGCGUAAUAGCUCACUGGUCGAGGCGUCCUGCGCGGAAGAUGUAACGGGGCUCAAAUCUAUAACCGAAGCUGCGGAUGCCAGUUUACUGGCAUGGUAGGGGAGCGUUCUGUAGGCCGAUGAAGGUGCAUUGUAAAGUGUGCUGGAGGUAUCAGAAGUGCGAAUGUUGACAUGAGUAGCGAUAAAGCGGGUGAAAAGCCCGCUCGCCGAAAGCCCAAGGUUUCCUACGCAACGUUCAUCGGCGUAGGGUGAGUCGGCCCCUAAGGCGAGGCAGAAAUGCGUAGUCGAUGGGAAACAGGUUAAUAUUCCUGUACUUGAUUCAAAUGCGAUGUGGGGACGGAGAAGGUUAGGUUAGCAAGCUGUUGGAAUAGCUUGUUUAAGCCGGUAGGUGGAAGACUUAGGCAAAUCCGGGUCUUCUUAACACCGAGAAGUGAUGACGAGUGUCUACGGACAUGAAGUAACCGAUACCACGCUUCCAGGAAAAGCCACUAAGCUUCAGUUUGAAUUGAACCGUACCGCAAACCGACACAGGUGGGCAGGAUGAGAAUUCUAAGGCGCUUGAGAGAACUCAGGAGAAGGAACUCGGCAAAUUGAUACCGUAACUUCGGGAGAAGGUAUGCCCUCUAAGGUUAAGGACUUGCUCCGUAAGCCCUGGAGGGUCGCAGAGAAUAGGUGGCUGCGACUGUUUAUUAAAAACACAGCACUCUGCUAACACGAAAGUGGACGUAUAGGGUGUGACGCCUGCCCGGUGCUGGAAGGUUAAUUGAAGAUGUGCAAGCAUCGGAUCGAAGCCCCAGUAAACGGCGGCCGUAACUAUAACGGUCCUAAGGUAGCGAAAUUCCUUGUCGGGUAAGUUCCGACCCGCACGAAUGGCGUAACGAUGGCCACACUGUCUCCUCCCGAGACUCAGCGAAGUUGAAGUGGUUGUGAAGAUGCAAUCUACCCGCUGCUAGACGGAAAGACCCCGUGAACCUUUACUGUAGCUUUGCAUUGGACUUUGAAGUCACUUGUGUAGGAUAGGUGGGAGGCUUUGAAGCAGAGACGCCAGUCUCUGUGGAGCCGUCCUUGAAAUACCACCCUGGUGUCUUUGAGGUUCUAACCCAGACCCGUAAUCCGGGUCGGGGACCGUGCAUGGUAGGCAGUUUGACUGGGGCGGUCUCCUCCCAAAGAGUAACGGAGGAGUUCGAAGGUUACCUAGGUCCGGUCGGAAAUCGGACUGAUAGUGCAAUGGCAAAAGGUAGCUUAACUGCGAGACCGACAAGUCGAGCAGGUGCGAAAGCAGGACAUAGUGAUCCGGUGGUUCUGUAUGGAAGGGCCAUCGCUCAACGGAUAAAAGGUACUCCGGGGAUAACAGGCUGAUACCGCCCAAGAGUUCAUAUCGACGGCGGUGUUUGGCACCUCGAUGUCGGCUCAUCACAUC
rnacentral:rRNA from 1 species